rnacentral:rRNA from 1 species
AGGAAGGAGAAGUCGUAACAAGGUUUCCGUAGGUGAACCUGCGGAAGGAUCAUUGUCGAGACCGAAAAAUAUACGAGUGAUUCGAACAACCUGUGAAAUAAGCAAAUGAACGUCCUGCUUGUUGCCUUUACUCUACUUUGGGGGGAGACGCAUGAUGGAGGAUGCAUGAACAAAAACUGACGCAGCAUUGCGCCAAGGGAAUAUUGAAAUUUAUGAGCCUUAUAAUGGGCUUUGUAGCUUGGCGUGUUGUUUCACGCCUUGCAGGUAGACAUGACUCUCGGCAAUGGAUAUCUUGGCUCUUGCAUCGAUGAAGAGCGCAGCGAAAUGCGAUACGUGGUGCGAAUUGCAGAAUCCCGCGAACCAUCGAGUCUUUGAACGCAAGUUGCGCCUGAGGCCAGCAGGCUAAGGGCACGUUCUCCUGGGCGUCAAUCGUUGUGUUGCUCCGUGCCAAUCAUCUCACCAGUAGGUGUGUUUGGCUAGGCUUGGAUGUGUAGAUUGAUCCAUCGUGCUCAUUGGUGCGGCGGGUUGAAGAGCAGGUUUCGUCUCAAAGGUCGCAAACAAUAUGGGGUGGGUGAAAGCUCUGAUGUUACCUAUGUUGUCUUGUACUGGCUGAAGAGAUGGAUCGCACUAUUGAUGUGAUCCCGGACCAAGCGCCUAUGUCUUAUGGCAGCUUGAAAUGUGACCCCAGGAUGGGCGAGGCCACCCGCUGAGUUUAAGCAUAUCAAUA